rnacentral:misc_RNA from 1 species
GAUGAAGAACGUAGCGAAAUGCGAUAAGUAAUGUGAAUUGCAGAAUUCAGUGAAUCAUCGAAUCUUUGAACGCACCUUGCGCCCUUUGGCUAUUCCGAAGGGCAUGCCUGUUUGAGUAUCAUGAACACCUCAACUCUCAUGGCUUGCCAUGAUGAGCUUGGACUAUGGGGGUCUUGCUGGCCUGUGGUCGGCUCCUCUCAAAUGAAUCAGCUUGCCGGUGUUUGGUGGCGUCACAGGUGUGAUAACUAUCUACGCUUGUGGUGUUUUCCACCAGGUAACCUUCAGCAAUGGAGGUUCGCUGGGGCUCAUAAAAGUCUCUCAUCGGUGAGGACAGCUCUUUUUGAACGUUUGAUCUCAAAUCAGGUAGGACUACCCGCUGAACUUAAGCAUAUCAAUAAGCGGAGGA